GACCCCGUAGCUCAGUGGUAGAGCGUGAGAUUCCAGAAAUUGUAGUCGCAUACGAUUCCUCAAGGUCAUCCGUUCAAUCCGGGUCGGGGUCA